rnacentral:lncRNA from 1 species
CUCUCGAUGGGAAGAAGUGCCCUUUUCACUUGAAGACAAAGAAAUGUUUGUAAUGGAAAUGUGUGAACCAAUUUUCCAAGGAGAGCUGCUGAAAAGCACUGAUUAAAAACACAGCGAGGUGAUGAGGCAGUGAAAUAAAGCCAGAGCUGACCCACUUAAAGUUUGUGGCUGCACUUCCUUCUGAAAGUGAAGAGAGCAACCCUGGGCCACCUUCUACAUUCUUUCCCUUCUCCCCAACCCCAAGCAGUCCCUGCCCCAUUACUGACCCUGCAACUCUGUAGACAAUCAGAACCUUCCAGCGUGCAGGAAUGUUUACUAUUUCUGGCCAUUGUGUACUGGUUACUAAGCUACUGCCACUGAGGAUGAAAUGGUAACCCAGUAGCCCAAAAGACAAAGUCCUUCUCAACAAAGCCUAACCAACAGGCAAUGGAUUAUAGUGAUUCAGAGGAAAGAUAAGAAGGUUCCUUUGUCUUGGACCUCCACUAGACAUCAAGGAAACAUGCCAAAAAAGUAAACAACAAAGGCCCCCACACCUUUCCAAACUACAACCCAAAAUAAGUUGAUCUGAGAAACAAAUUGCAAUGCCGCAUGCAAAGCAGAUGUGUCCAAAUUCAUGUAGGACCAGACACAUCCUGAACCUUUCAGUGCAACAGCUGUUCAAGACUUUCUUCAAAAUCAUCCAAGCACAAGGGUUGAUAAAAUACACACAAAAUGGCUGAUGCUCAAACCAACCAAAACACCAGGCUCUUUGCUGAAACCUCUGAGAAGGGUUCCUGGCUCCAGGUCAGCCUCAAUGGAAUAAAGGAAGAUCACCUACCACUUCAAACUGAAGAGCUGAAGGAGUUGUAUCAAGAUACAGAGUGCAGCAAGUAUAGGAAACAUUAGAGAAACUGACCUGUCUGGAGAUGGCAAGCUGCAGAGCCAGGUAGAAAGCUGCUUGGUGAUCUGUGGGUGACAGGCUGUGGGCCCUGAAAAAGUAUUUACGGCUAUUAGUACAUGGGAGAGGAGGCCAUUUUUACUUUCCCUAUCAAGCAAGUCUUCUCCACAUUUGCAUUCUUAUACUAAGGGCCCGUAUUUAUUUAACUAUGUAAUGCUUCAUUUAAACUCUUCUUCUUUGUCCACCUACACAUGUAAACCAUUUCCCUCUUACCACUGUAUAAAGGUACAGAAUAGGAGUGCAUUUCUGUGUUUUGUCUAGCAUCUAAAAUGGCAGCUGAAGCUUGUCGGCUUUGCGGAGGGCCUCGAGGUGAAGAAUCCAUAGGCCCUGAGGUCUGAUCUCCCCAGCAGAUGGGUCUCUGUGUCGUGCUGGGACGCAGUGAAGCCAUGUGUGCACUUGGCAAGGCGAUGGCUGCUUUGGUUAAGUUUGGCUUGGCCUUCCUUAAUGCUACUUUAUCCAAAUUUCUAGAUUUCAGAGAAACCAUAUGAAAAUCAAAGACCCAGCUUUGCUUAUAAAAUGAGGUUUGGGUUUUUGGUGAAAAAAGGGAAGAGAAAGGCACUCAUUCAGUCUUUUGAAGCUUCUACAAAAUUCCAUGCCGUUCACUGAUUUAUUGCAGAUAACUGUCGUGUAAGAGUGUGGUGAGACACUAGGCUCAGUUUUAAGAACUGGCCUUUGACGUCAGACAGGAAGGGACCAUACUGGCCUCCUAGCUGAUUGCAAACGUGGUCUUCUCUGCUUCUAUGUGGAAGUCAUUUGUAUUUCAGCAUAAGCAACUCAAAAUUUGACUACAUACUAGACAUAAUUCUGUGUUUAACUGCUGGGAAGAGAAAAACAAACUUCUACUUUCUUUAAAAGGCACCAUGGAGCAGACUAAUUAGGUGGGACCCAGAUAGUAAACAAAACUUCAUGCUGUUCUGUCAACAUUCUGUGAUUAAAGGAGGAUCUUCUACCAGCAGAAAACAAAUUCGAGAUAAAAAAGAAAACCAAAUCAUUAUGGAUUCAACUGUGGCAAACAGGCCAAAGAUGGCUUUCUACAAUAAUAAGGCCUUUUAAUUGGACUGUCUGCUGCAGGGAAGGGAGCUAACAAACCUCCCAGGUGUUUGCCAUCCAGAAAAUAUGCUAAAUUCACUAAUUUAGGUCAUUGUUUAUGCAAAUGUAAUAGCUCAUAUGCAGGUCCAGGGUGAGGCAAAGCUAAUCUCUGUCCUUAUAUUAAUCUUAGGAGCAAAGCACAUAGACUUCCAUUCCAGGGGACUCUUCACUUGGCCUCAAGACAUAGCCUCAGGACUUUUCUUAGCUUAGUUGAAGAGGCUGAAGCUGAUAUUGCCUGUGUUACCCUUUUACAUGUCUUAUUUCUCUUUUUUUUUCUUUUUCUUUUUCAGACAGGGUCUUACUCUAUCACCCAGGCUGGAGUGCAGUGGCAUGAUCACUGCUCAUUGCAGCCUCAACCUCCCAGGGCCCAAGCGAUCCUCCCAUCUUAGCCUCCCAAGGUGCUGGGACCACAGGCGUGCUCCCCACGCCCAGCUAAUUUAUAGAAUUUUUUGUAGACCCGGGGUUUCAACAUGCUAUCCAGGCUAGUCUGGAACUACUAGGCUCAAGUGAUCCUCCCACUUUGGCAUCCCAAAACCCUGGGAUUACAGGCAUAAGCCACCACGCCCAGCUACUAAAUGGCUUAUUUCUAAGGUCCACUCAGUAUAUAGCAGCUUUUAUAAUUUUACAAAUAUUGGCUUUCCAUGAAUUUGUACAUCAAAGAAUAUUUUUCUUUGGUGUUUAUAAAAGUGAGAUUGAAAAAUCAUGGUUUCUCUCAUAAUUAUUCAGGAAAAAUAAUACACAAUUAUGAAGAAAUUUUUAGAUUUAUUUUAUCUUCUUUCACAAAUAAUAAAUUUACAGAACCCUCAAAAAGAACUUCUUAGAAUUAUAAUUUUCUCAGUUCAAUUCAUAUUCUUCACGAAUAAAUCAAGUCAUGGUUGCCUCUAUGCAAUACCAACCAACUGAAAAGCUGGCAAUGAUCUGUUGAGUUGAGGGUGUACAUAAAGAUAGUUCUGGCUAAAGGCCCCAUGCUGGCCUCAUCAAAUGAUUUUUCUCUGUUAACCACAGCACCGUGAAAGGAACAAACCAGAAGUGCUAGAAAUCUUGGUAUUUCUGGAGUGCAUUAGGGCAACAUCUGAAGGAUUUCCAACUUGGCUAAUGAUGCAUAUUCAACUGCCAAAUUUCUAAUGAGGCACAACUGAAACAUAUACAUUUUAAAAACCUUAUUUCUACAACUUGGCUAAUGAAUUCAACUGACCACUUCACCCUCUGAAGGAAAUAAGGCAAAUGCCAAACAAAACAAGAAAAAGCUCCCUGUGUUGAUCUCAAGUAGAUGCUAAAAUACUUGCUUCCCGUGGAGCAACUUCAGCAGCUAAGCUUCCUGUGGGAAAGCCCCUUUGGUAUGCCACAGGCAACUCGCCGGACAGAAAUCCUCAGGCCAGGCAGAUGAGAGAGAGGACAUUAGUGAUCAGAAAAAUUGCAAGCCUUCUGAACUCUGUAAAUGAAUCUAAAGCAGCCUCAUAAACUCCGUGCCCAUAAACUGAACACCUGGCUAGACUGCUCAGAAAUACCUAAAAGACCUAAAAAUGUCACCACAAGGAUGCUCACAAAAUGCUUCCCUUAUCAAAGCACCUCCACAUAAUUAAUUCAGUUUCUCUCCCAUGAAGAAGAACCCACUCAUCCUUUUAUCCACUUACCCACCCAUCCACCCAGCCAACCACCCACCCAUCCACCUAUCCAUCCAUCCACCAUCCAACCAUCCACCUACCCAUCCAUCCACCAUCCACCCAUCCACAUUAUGCAAUAUCUAUAAUGUGAUGCCAGGCCCUAUGCUAACUUCUGGGGAGCAUGGAGAUGAAUCAUGCUAGUGCCUUUCCUUGAUGAGCUCCCACCCCCGCCCCAGAGGGAGAGACCCAGAAUGACCAUCAUCAUCGUGCAGUGGGAGCAGUGCCCAGAGAUAGGCAUGCUGGGCUGCUACUGGAAAGCAUCGGAUGGGCUUCCCAGAUCACCUGGCUAGAACCCAAGGAUGUUGUGGCAUCUAACCCAGGGCUCUCUUAGAUUCCAUUUCCAACAUUCUCUAGAGCUGAACCAAGAAUAUAGAGAAGGCUGAUCAAUGCUGACCCUAGUCCAUAAGACACAUAUCUUGUAACAAUAGUAACUACAAUUUGUGAAGUUAUCGACUAUUACGCUUCUUGUCCAAGAACAGCCAGCAAAUGAGAGAAAGCCAGAACCUUGCUGCCUUGUUUAGCCAAUUCUCCUUGAAUUUCCCUUCAGUCCUGAUUACAGGGGCCAUGGGAUUCGUGCAUUAAGUUUUUUAAAAAGUGCAAACCCUGGUUAAAUCUAUUGCUCAGGAAUCUCUCGUUAGUUACUCACACAGGGUGACCAACUUGUCCUGGUUUGUCCAGGAUGUUCCUGAUUUUAGCACUGCAAGUCCCAUGUUCUGGGAAAACGCUCAGUCCUCAAGAGAUUGGGAUGGCUGAUCACCCUAUAUGCACACAUCAUACCACACUUAAACUCAAGCUAGGACAGAAAGGGGAAAGCAAAGCAAGAUCGUGUACCCUGUGCCACAAUGAGUGAUAAACAAACACCACCAUGCCACCCCUGCCUCCUGGAGCACCAGGCUUUAUGCAUACUGUGGGCCAUGCAAUGAAAGGUGCUCUCAACUGUUUUCAGGAUGGCUUUUCUCAGUAGGAUGUGAGAGCCUGCAGAAGAAGCAAGUCAUAUCAAUUCAGCAUCUUCAGAAGCUUUGCAAACAAUAUUAUGUUCUUCUUCACUAUACUUUAGUACAGGGCAAAUGAAUUGGUUCAGCUGCCUGGGUUGAGCUUAUGAGUGUAGGAACAGGUGAGGGUCUCACAUUCAGAUGCAGCCACCCAACCUGGAUGUCUUCAAAAAUCACCUCUUUGGAUCCACUAGAGAACAAAUAUGUCUGAAUUCUGGCAGUCAUAAUUAAGAGUUAACUUUCUUGUGCUAUAUCUGCAACCCCAUCCCUUCCUGAAUUGUGUUUUCUUUUUAAACAAAAAAUGCAAAACAUUAGUAUAAACAGAAUUGUGGGGAGAAUAUUUAAAACAAAUAGUAGAGAAAGUACUUCUCAUCAAAGUAGUUUUAAAUUAUCCAUUUACAUUUAAGAAGUAAUACAAAUCAUUUUCACUUACUUAAAAUCUUUCCCUUAAAGAUUUUUGUUAGGACUGCAAUUCACUAGAAUAGUCCUAGUUAAUGUGUACUUGAAAUAAAAUGAAAAACAUUCUAUAUUUCACACAAAUUCUAAUUUAGGUUAGCCUUCUGCAAUAUCAUCAGUUAGGUUAGCGGGAUUUUAUUACUCUUUAUUCCCAUAUGAACUAAUAUUUUAAAAAUCUCUUCGAAUUUAAACUUAAGCAAAAGAUGAACAAAAAAGAAUUCAGGCCAAUGGAGCAGCUGUUAUAUAACAUGAAGUUAUACUGGCAGCUCAAGGCAGACCACCACUGUGGCUGUUUUUAGAGAGCCAGUAAGAUGUGCUGAUUUAAGAAAAGUGAAACAGAUGUAAUGACCACUUUCUUAAGCAUCCAUGUGUGGGUUUUACAAACUAGGACUGGAGAAUUUAAAACUCCAAAUCAUUUGAAAUGGAAAUGCUUUCCACACUCCGUGCUGAGGAACAUCAACAAAAGCUUAGCACAGAGACAGGAGAUCUGUUUGCAGAUGUCAGUUGGUACUUUUUGUCAAUACCCAGACUGGGGCUGGCAACCUGAAGUAGCUACCGGCAAGCCUGCUAGGAAACAGAAAUGAGACGGAAGAGUUUCAGACUCACUGAAACCACUGAUCAUGAUUUCAUGAAAAAAGGCAUACGGACACCAUGAUAAAUCAGUAGGCAGCCCCAGUUCUAAGGAAAGAGUCUAACGAAGCUUGUCAGGUAUUGGGAAGGCCUCAUGAAAUAUUCGUAACUAAGUUUCUAAUACAGUUCCAAGAAAUCAGUGUAACUCAGAUAUAUUUAAAGUGACAGGAUCAAUACCCAUGCUGGAUUUCACAUCAUGGGGCUAUGCUUCCAGAUGAUUUCAUUUUUGUGAUUAUACCUGUAACAAGAAUAAAAUGAGGGCAGUGUAGUAUGGUGGGGCAGGAGAAACUGUGUUAGAGCCAGGAGACCCUGACUGCAUACUGACUUCAACAGCUGCGGGACCGGCAGCUCCUGUAACUCCUGCGCCUCAGUCCCUGACCUGCAAGGGACAUACUGCCUGUCCGUCUUCCUCACUUGUGUGUGGUAAGCAACAAAUUAAAUAAGGGAUGUGAAGGCACGCUGUGACACUCGAGCAUUUUAUAAUUGCAAGGCCUUCUCCUAAUUUCCUGAGAGGCACAAUGACAGAGAGAAGCACAAGGUGUUAUGGAACAAGGUGGGGGCGGGGAGUUUGGGGCUGACUGUCUUCACUCAGUAUUUCGGAGACUUCCUGAAAUCGGCCUUCUCAUUCCUUUAUACAAAAACCUGCAGUUUGACAUGUUUUUUUUAAAAAAAAAAAAAAGCUAGAAAAGAAUAAUCUCUUCUCUAGAUGAUGACAAAUGUCUUUAAUAAAGGACUCAUCUCCCUUGGCAUACAAAAUACCUAUCUUUUUUGAGCUGAAAUCACUUUAUUAGGAAUGAAUAAAAUGUGCCCAAAUGGAUAAACAGAUUAAGAGUGCAGAUUGACACAGCAACAAGUGAUACAGCAGGGUUUGUGUGCUGUGUGUUCGGUGCUCAGGACGAAAGACUCUCAGGGGUAAAACACUGUUUACAUAAUCUUUAUAAAUAUCUCUUCUUUUUAUACUCAUCAUACUUUGGUGUCAUUAUGUACAGCCGAGUGAAAAGAUGAACUCCCACUCACCUCUGAAAUGCAAGAAGCGCCUUUCUCUGUAGGACCUCCUGCAUCCCUCGCAAAGAAGCUAAGAAAAGGGUUCAAUUAGUCAGUGGCAUGGGGGAUCAGGGAAUUUUGACAAAUACAAAACCCAUCACAAAACCUGUACAUUCAACUGGAUUAAAAGCAACAAUGUCUGAGUGCCUACGUGCCCAGUCCUGCACCAGGCCCUGGAGAAGAUAGGAAACAGAGCCCAGUCCUACCCCCAAGGUGCCUGCACUCAUUAGGUGUGACUGUGGAACAAUGCCAAGGGGACAGUGUGAGUUGGGUGGUCACUCUUGGUACUCCCAGGCAUAUGGGGGCCAUUUGCAAAAGACCAGUUGGGAACUCCAGAAGGAGCACGACUGCCCUCUCAAGUGUAGGCAUGUAACUCAGGGGAACGACAAGCUCUAUGAAGAUGGGGUGGGAGGGUUGCAAGCACCGGCAGUGUUGAUUUUGACAGCCUUGCCUUCAGAGUUCCUUCUGCCACUGAGAAGCUGCAGUCCUGGGCCACCGACAGUAGCUUGCUGCCUUGAAAGGCCAGCUUGGUUCACACUGGGCAAUGGCCAGGACCUUUAACACCUUCAUGUGAACACAAGGAAUGGAGUAGGCAAACCUAACACUGAUCAUGGAAAAUGAGCUCAAAAGCAUGAGGCCACCUCGCUGUGAAUCAACACUUCCCCUGUGCAGAGCAUGUGAGAAAUGGCCCCUUAAACCUGGCUAGGAAUGAAAAAGGUACUUUUUACUAGGGCAAGAGAAAAAGUCCUGGAGGAAACUGUUUAUGGCUGGAACUGCAAGAGGCCAUUACCUAACGCCUCCAACAUGGCACCUCCCAGCCUGGCAUGAGACUGAGAGCAGUGAAAGGCUGCCAGGGGGUCAAUGUGGCUGGAGACCAUGGCUAACUUAGAACAGCAGUGACACAGCUAGAGAGAACCUCAGAAAGGACCCAACUGACCCAAGAAUGGAAAAGGAAGCCCCAUAGGGUCAAGCAACUCUCCCAAAGUUGCAGGAGUAAUGAGGGGUAGAGUCUGAAGAAUUUACAUGGGUUAAUAUGUGGCAUUAAAUUUGCCCCUCACUCAAAGUCUACUAUGUCAAAAGCUAUGUGCUGGGUAUUGCCAAUGUACCAUGUGUAUAUGGAAAAUUAGCAAGUAAUCCAUAUUGAAAAGUAAUUAAUAUGCACAACUUUCCCAGGACCUUUGAUAUUUUAGGGCAGAGGAAAGAAUUUGGAGUAAUUUGUAAAAUAAAUUACAACAAAACCAUAAAGAAAAAAUGAAGUAUUACAAAAGCCAGGAUAGUAUUUCCUCGUAAGGGAGAGAAGGGAGUUUGUGAUUGGGAGGGGCACACGGAGGGCUCCCCAGGGGGCUGGCAAGGUUCUAGCUCCUCAGCAGGGUAAUGACUACAGGAUAUUUUGCCUUAUACUAAUUAAAAUUCAUUAAAUUAACCAUGUGUUUCUGGGAUUUUUGUUUUGCAUUUGUGUUAUAUUUAACAACAACAUGAUAAAAGAAUAGUAACAGUUCAGGAAAAGUUUGUUAAAUUUUCUGCAAAUAUCACUGAAAACUUAAGUAUACAAGAUUUUUUCUUAGCUAGAAUCCCAUCCAUCAGAACUCUAAGCACAUCCAAAAAUCACUGCGCCCAAGACCCCUAGGUGUCUUGUGAGCUGCUGCACUGCACAUGUACAUAUCUACAAAUUAAAAUGUGCAAAUGGAGAAGGGGCAUUUCCUGACCAGUCAAGGGAAGCUUCCUGGAAGUGUCUGGCCCUGACUCUUCCACAUUCCUGUACCUAAGAUCCAGCAUCCCUUCACACAGGACAGCCCAGACCAAGUGGUGGGACAGGGGCAGGUGCAAGGCUAGGUGGAUGAAUCAUCCCUCAAAGCGCAGUGAGGUGCCCAGUGUGCCACCAGCAUAAUGUACCUAAAAAUGAGGCCUGGGAGCCCUGGCACAGGGCCUUCCUCCCUGCCCUCCCAUUCUCCCAUCAGACCAAGCAAAGAGGACAGCAGCACCAGGGGCCCCACCGGAUGGCACACCAGAAUGCCCCAGCUUCUGCACCCUCCUGAGACAGAAGGGGACUGUGGGAAUCCCGCAGGGUAGACUUAGGUAGUCCAGCCCUGCAGCUCAGCAGCUGUGGGGGUGGGACGUCUCUCACCGUCAGUGGCCUGCAGACUGUACGUGAGCCCCAGAGCUAAGUAGCCUUUGGCCUUGAACUCUGACGUUUUCU